rnacentral:lncRNA from 13 species
GACAGAUCACAGAGCUUUUUAGAAAUGUGUCCAUACCUCUUCCGGGCUCAUUACACUCCGCUUUGCGGAUCAUAGACAAGUUGGAUGUGUGAGAAAUAGUUAGGUCUCCACACACAUCCAAUCUAGUUUCUGCCGUAUUGCUUUCACCUAUUCAGCCUGAUCAUUUCGGUGAAAGGGAGUGAGCGAGGAGGCAAAGGAGGAAGCAUCGCUUUGGAAUGAAAUACGGUGCUUAUAGGAUAGUGGUGUGAGUAAUGGCAUGGCCCAGAGUCCCAUGCCUCCUGCUGAUCCUGCUGCUCCUACUACACACCUGCUUACCUCAACCAGGCCCUCCAUCUCCUCCCUCCGCUCCCCAGUGUCACAUUCCCUAUACGGAGGGACGACAGGCAGAUAUCCACUGUUUCUGGGAUCCAGGACAGAACCCACAAAUCCCCACCUCCUACAGCCUGCACUGGAAUUCUACAGAGGGGUAAAGACAUGUCUACUAUAGCCUGUAUACAUCCCAUCUUAAUACAGUAUAUACAGGACAUCUAUAAUCAUCUUCACAAAUGACCCAGACAUAGGCUAUCAUAACUAUCAUAUACUGUUCCUACACAGAUGCAAGAAUAGCUGUUUAUUCGCUGUGUUUGGAAACCCGCGGUGACUCGUGGUGUUUAGAAACCGAUGGGUUAAUGCUGCGUUUGUAACCAAGCAGGAAGUGGGAAUUUACCACCAAAAUGUUAGAAAGAGGACUCUAUAUGGAUAAAACCCAUUUGGCAUGGACAUUGUCAUCAAAGGAUUCACCCUUUUAAAGUAGUCAACUGGGUGGGACUUCCUAUGGGUGAAGGAAGGAUCACAUGAUUCCACCCAGGUCAUCAGGAGGGAUCAGCCAAUGAAUUAUACUCAUGAGUAAACAUUCCAUAACUGUAGGUGGUAGUAAAUCACCAUCCUUGGCUUUAUACCUGUUAAAACAACACACUCUAGGUGGCAGUAUGCACCCUUUCAGUUUGUUUGCCAACUCAUAGAAGUAGUAGAAGAAGAAAAUUGACUUAUUCAAACUGGAGAUGGCUCAAUGGUUCUGCCCGUGCCAGGGCCCGGCUUAUGUGCCUUACCGUACAUCCUUGUCAGUCCAAAUAAAAUAUUGAAAUAGUGAUCAUUUAUUUGACAGAGAGGCCACGGACAGAAAGACGUAUCAAUCUCAGAUAAAGCAUUCAAGCAAGCGAAUACAGAGAAUGAUAGAGAUAUUAUCUUUAUAUAUGUCCCAUUAUGGCAUCUGUGAGCGCUCGACCCGGUACUGGUACCCCGUGUAUAUAGCCAAGUUGUUGUUACUCAUUUUGUAUUUAUUAUCACUUUUAUUAUCACGUGUCAUUACUUUUCUAAGCCCUCAUUGGCAAUGUCCAUGCCAAAAACUGGUUUAAUGCAUCAAGAUUCCUAUAUCUAACCCUAUGGUGGUAAAUUCCCACUUUCCACUUGGUUACAAAUGAAGCAUAAGAGGCAGACUCUUAUGCUGCGUUCAUAACCAAGUGGGAAGUGGGAAUUUUGCUUUAUUUUCUGCUGUGCAUUCACAAUGCUAAGCUGCAACUAGGGCUGGCAUAAUUACUGUAUAACCGUGUAAUCAACAGUUAACUGUCAUAACCAUGUUGUGGAACAAACAACUGACUGAAGAUGGGACGGCUGGGCAUUCUUGUGGUUGAGUCCGUUUCUGCAGUAACAUGGACUCUUAACAGCAUGAAACUUCAUUGUUCUUU